GGGGGGGGGGGGGGGGGGGGGGGGGGGGGGGGGGGCGGGGGGAGGGGGGCGGGGUUGGUGGGGGGCUGGGGUGGCGGACGGGUGAGUAACACGUGAGUAACCUGCCCUUGACUUGGGGGUAACUUCAGGAAACUGGGGCUAAUACCGGAUAGGAGCUGCUGCUGCAUGGUGGGGGUGGGCAAGUUUCGGCGGGUGGGGAUGGCCUCGCGGCUUAUCAGCGUGUUGGUGGGGUAGUGGCUUACCAAGGCUUGGACGGGUAGCCGGCCUGAGGGGGUGACCGGCCACAUUGGGACUGAGAUACGGCCCAGACUCCUACGGGAGGCAGCAGAGGGGAAUAUUGCACAAUGGGCGGAAGCCUGAUGCAGCAACGCCGCGUGCGGGAUGACGGCCUUCGGGUUGUAAACCGCUUUCGCCUGUGACGAAGCGUGAGUGACGGUAAUGGGUAAAGAAGCACCGGCUAACUACGUG
rnacentral:rRNA from 1 species